UGCCUAAUACAUGCAAGUCGAGCGAACUGAUUAGAAGCUUGCUUCUAUGACGUUAGCGGCGGACGGGUGAGUAACACGUGGGCAACCUGCCUGUAAGACUGGGAUAACUUCGGGAAACCGAAGCUAAUACCGGAUAGGAUCUUCUCCUUCAUGGGAGAUGAUUGAAAGAUGGUUUCGGCUAUCACUUACAGAUGGGCCCGCGGUGCAUUAGCUAGUUGGUGAGGUAACGGCUCACCAAGGCAACGAUGCAUAGCCGACCUGAGAGGGUGAUCGGCCACACUGGGACUGAGACACGGCCCAGACUCCUACGGGAGGCAGCAGUAGGGAAUCUUCCGCAAUGGACGAAAGUCUGACGGAGCAACGCCGCGUGAGUGAUGAAGGCUUUCGGGUCGUAAAACUCUGUUGUUAGGGAAGAACAAGUACAAGAGUAACUGCUUGUACCUUGACGGUACCUAACCAGAAAGCCACGGCUAACUACGUGCCAGCAG
rnacentral:rRNA from 2 species